AUCCCAAACUUUGCUAGCUAGUGUUUCGAGAAAUUGCCAUCUUCUUAUCUUUUCAUUUUUGUUGCAGUCAUCUUUUUUGAUAACCAUACUUGGUUUUUGUCUUCAAUCUUUGAAAAGAAAUAUUCUUCCUACUUUAUUAUAGCCCCAUCUCUUGUGAUUGAUUCAAGAAGUUGAUUCUUGUAGUUUCUAUAUCAAUUUCGAAAUCUUUUAUUAAAGUUUCAUUUUUUCUAUCUUGAAGUUAGGUGGAGGAAGUUGAGAAAAGGUGUUUUCUGAAUGAUAGGUGUUGAAAGUUAGAAGUGUAAAGCUAGUUUGAGAUGGAUUUGAUAUAUAAUCAAACUCCCUUGGAAGAGGGUGAAGAAAAAAUAUUUAUUUUAGAGAUACAAUGUUGAUUGGAGUAUUUCAUGCUAUGAGAGAAAGGAUGUGUCCGGUGCAACGCAACAUGAUACAUCAAGUCAUUCCAUCCUACCUCUAAUAAUAAGAUGUAAUAGAAAUGAGUAUUAAAUUGUAAAAAAAAGAAAGUAUUAAAUUGUACCUAAAAAAAAUAAAUGAAUAUUAAAUAUCUUAGUUAA